rnacentral:rRNA from 1 species
UACGUAGGGCGCAAGCGUUGUCCGGAAUUAUUGGGCGUAAAGAGCUCGUAGGCGGUUUGUCGCGUCUGCUGUGAGAACCUAAGGCUCAACCUUGGGCUUGCAGUGGGUACGGGCAGACUAGAGUGCGGUAGGGGUGACUGGAAUUCCUGGUGUAGCGGUGGAAUGCGCAGAUAUCAGGAGGAACACCGAUGGCGAAGGCAGGUCACUGGGCCGCAACUGACGCUGAGGAGCGAAAGCAUGGGGAGCGAACAGG